rnacentral:rRNA from 1 species
CCUACGGGAGGCAGCAGUAGGGAAUAUUGCUCAAUGGGCGAAACCCUGAAGCAGCAACGCCGCGUGGAGGAUGACGGUUUUCGGAUUGUUAACUCCUUUUGUUAGAGAAGAUAAUGACGUUAUCUAACGAAUAAGCACUGUCUAACUCCGUUCAAGCAGCCGCGGUAAUACGGAGGGUGCAAGCGUUACGCGGAAUCACUGGGCGUAAAGAGCGCGUAGGCGGGAUAGCAAGUCAGUUGUGAAAUCCUAUGGCUUAACCCUAGAACUGCAGUUGAAACUGUUAUUCUAGAGUAUGGGAGAGGCAGGUGGAAUUCUUGGUGUAGGGGUAAAAUCCGUAGAGAUCAAGAGGAAUACUCAUUGCGAAGGCGACCUGCUAGAACAUAACUGACGCUGAUGCGCGAAAGCGUGGGGAGCAAACAGGAUUAGAUACCCCUGUAGUC